rnacentral:lncRNA from 1 species
UCAAACUCAUAUGGAUAAAGGCCCAGAAGAGCCACAUAGCAUUUAAUACAAACAUGGGUCUCAUGACCCAUCAUUCAGAGCAUACAAGCAAUGGAAGCAUUACAUGUCUGAGUACAAACAACUAUAAAAGGAAAAGGCUGAGAAGCCUGACUAUCUACAAGACCCUCGCAAGGGUACAAGAUCGUAGCUGAGGUAACAAGCUAGUCAUCGAAGUCCAUGCAGAACUACUAUUGAGACAGAAGUCUCAUCUGCAAAAACAUAAAUUAAGCAACGUGAGUACAAAGGUACUCAACAAGACUUACAUCAGAUCCUAUCAUACAUGCAUUAGUAUCAAGGAGGCAAUGUGGGGUUCAGUUGCAGCAAGCCAGCUUUGACUCAGUGGCUAACCUAUUCUACGACUACGAGUAACUUCUUUGAGGUAAGAAAGCGCACACGAGUCCACUAAUCACCACAUCAAUACACCACUAUGGAUUCAUUCCCGUCUCCCUACGAGAAGACCAUCCAUAGUACUCACACUUAUCUUGAGCAUUUUAUAGUAACCACUUCAAGUUGUCUAUGUACCACGUAAGCCUCCAAGAAGUCCAUAACCGCGGACCCGGCUAUUCGAAUAGAUCAUGUUAACCCUGCAAGAGUGUACUUCUUCACACAUGCUCUCGCCACUUACCGCCAUGUACGUGUCAUGUAUCUCGGCAACCUUCAAGCGGAAGCCUGGCGAGGGUGUCAUCCACAACCUGACUAACCACACAAGACUCUAGUCCAGGUUCAUCGCCUAUUCAGGUUCCAUCUGUCAGGAGAUCCGGCCGGGGUUUCACACACGGCCCAAACGAUGUGUGCAGGGUUCCCAAUCCCACCUCGCCGGAUGGAUCUAUGCUUGGUACACCAUGCCACUGGUGCCUAGUCUGUCCCAAGCCCACCUGGCCGGGUUCCACUUGGUAGACUAUUAAAACUACCUACAAACACGAGAAACUAUUUGCAACUCCUGGACCGAGAUCAAGUUGGUUAAUAAGUCGAGAGGGGCACUUAAGCAUUCUAAUGCAUGGUAGUAGCUAGUCAUUGGACAACAUACACAGAACUUGGUGCUUAAGGACGGUUCCAGUGAGACAACCCACCAUGUACUCCUACAUGGCCUCUCACCGCUACCUUUACCAAAUCAUGUUCACACACUUAACUCUCAGCACCAGAACAUAUCGUAACACUCCAAUUCAUUCCCAAUGAAUCAGACCUGACACAAAUCUAAGCAAUAGCAGGCAUGGCAUGGUAGGAACACAACAUUGCUCAAUCAACUCCUACACAUGCUAGUGGGUUUCAAUUAUUUAUUGUGGCAAUGACAGGUCGUGUAGAGGAAUGGGUUCAGCUACCGCAACAUAAAGUAUCAGUUGAAUCGUUGUUGUCCUAAUGCAAUAAAAGAGAGGAGGAGCGAGAGAGUGGGAUUGUAUCGGAAUGAACAAGGGGGUUUGCUUGCCUGAUAAAUCAAUAGUAGAGCACUGCUCUUCAGACAGGUACUCUCGAACACUCUCCGGAGCAGGACCUAUCGAGAAGAACGGUGCUGGCAAUCAAUUCACAAGAAUAUGCAACAAAAUGAUGUGAAGUGGUUUGUGCUAAUGAAACCAGCAACAAGUUCAAUGGAGCUCAUUUGAAUCAAGGAUUCAAAUGCAACUCCAAACUUAAGCAUUUGAAAUGCCAUUUAUGUCUUUUCACUUGUACAACAUGUAUAAGUUGGUUUGACAUGCAUGAAACUGGUAUAGAUGGAUACAUUGAAUUUUCCUGAUAAUGCUUUAUAUAUAUAGAUUAUUUCAAUCUGAGCCACGGUUGAAUUUAUAUGAAUUUUAGAAGUUUUGCUAAUUUUCUGGAAUUUCCGAAAUAGAAAUAAUCCAGAAAAUGAUUAAUUGCGUUAGCAUGACGUCAUCACUACGUCAGCGAGUCAACAGGGCUGACCAGUGUCAAACCUGACGUGUGGGGUCCACACGUCAGUGACACAGUGUUAAACAGGUUUUUUACUAAUCUAAUUAAAAGAUUAGGGCACACGGGCCCACUGUCAGUGUCAGGGUUUAGUUAAAUGGUGAUUAGCCUUAAGCUAAUCACCUGGCAGGCCGGGCCCGCACGUCAGGCCGGUGAGGUUGUCGCCGGCGACCUCUGGUCGCGGCAGAGUCCAUGCUGCAGGGCACGGGGGCGGCGUCUCAAAGCACCGGGGCGUAGCCCGUGCUCUCCCGCAUCUAGUGGGGCAGGUGGGAGGAGCUGGGGAGGACGGAGCUCGCCGGAGCGGAGCUCGUGGCGGCGGCCGGAGCACAGCUCCGAGCGGGCGCAGGCUACGGGGCACGGCAGAGCGAGCUGAGGGGCUCUGUGGCCUCCUCGAGUUGCAAGGAAGACGGUGAGCUGCUCGGGAGCAAGCUGCGGUGGCUCUGGCCACGGCGGUGACAUGAUCGGCGGAGAGGAGCUACGUCCAUGGCGGGGAACAGAGAUGGAGCGUGCAAAAGCGAGGGGGGAGAAGAGGGGUUCGGUAGAGGGGCUCAUAGCGAGGCCGUCGGUGAUCUCAACGCGCUCGGGGAUGGCUUGGAGGUGACGGGAUUUCGGUGGCGAUCUCCGGCGGCCGAUGAUGAAGACGAUGGCGGUGACGGCUCCACGGGGCGUCCGGCAAUGUGUGGCUUGAUGAAGAGGACGAGGACGAUGGCGCGGAGCUGUUGGACUUGUCGGAGAGGCGAGGCCACGGAGGUGGGAGCGACAACAGCGAGCGGCGGCGACGGGCGCGUUCUGUCUAGCGAGAGAGAGAGGGGAGGAGGCAGGGAACGGGGGUGAGAGUGAGAGGGUGUGGCUCAGGGACGUGCGUGGCGUCCUCAGCCAACUCCAGGCGGUCGGUUCAGCACAUCACUCUUAUACUCCCUGACCUCGUCCUCCCUGGCCUUGGCCGCCUUUAAUCUAAAAUAGUACCCGUUUUUUCGAACACUCUUAAAAGCUACCUUAGGGCUGCUUGAAAAUAAUUUGCAUCCGUGGAGACGUGAAAGGAGGCAAGUCCGUAAAUAAUGUCUACUCAUCCAGGUUAGUGAUCAGGUGGCUGCAACCGCAAAAAAAAAUGGGGCUUGCUUGGCAAUAAAAAUAGGUGUUCCAUAGAACAAGGGGCUACUGUUUGUUUAAAUGGUAUUUGCAGUCAUAAGGUUGUUAGUUUAACAAAUACAUGUAUACAUGUAUGCUUACAAUCUUACAUUUUACAGCACAUACAGCGAGCAAAUAUACAGCAAAAGUUUAGUUCUGAAUUUUGGCAAACAACAUAAAGAAAUCAUAUUAUUACUUAAUAAAUACACGUGUACAUGCACGCCUAGAAAGCUUAGAGUUUAUAGGACAUGCAGCGAGCAAAUAUUCAGCAAAAGUUCAAUUCUGAAUUUCGGCAAACAACAUCCAGAAUUCAUAUUAGUAACUGACAAAUACAUGUGCACAUGUACGCCUAGAAAGCUUAGAGUUUACAAGACACACAUCGAGCAAAUAUGCAGCAAAAGUUCACUUCUUAAUUUGGGCAAACAACAUAAAGAAAUCAUAUUAUUACCUCUAGGAUUGGGGAAGCCGAGAGAGACUGGAAACAACAUGUAUGUCUAGAAAGCUUACAGGACCUCUAUAAAGCACUUCUGAACUGGGCUGCUUAUCUGCACAUACACAAGAUACACUCAGACAUCAUCAAAACUAUAUUACUUUUAUUGCCCAUGUAUGCAUAGAAAUAGAACUACAACAGGCGGUAUCACACACUAGUCUACUGAUCACGAAGACACCCUUCAUCUUUUGUUGCAAUGACAGUUUGAAGGAAACGACACAUAGAAGCGCAGUCCUAUACAUAGAAUAAACUGACAAAAACUUGACAAAAUCCUAGGCCCUCCCUGGUCAAUUUGCACCAAAAACACCGGAGCAAUCUAAGGAAAAUAAAUACAGCAAACAUGGCAACCCAACACACCAAAUCUACCAGAACAAAGAAUGUGAAACUUUAUUAACACCUCAUGUACAGCAACACAUCCCCUUCUCCUCAUGAUGGUUUGGUGCCAAGAUACCUUCCGGUGUUGGAGUUCGACCUCGUCUUCUCUUUGCCUAUACUUGUGUUUUGUGUCAAAAGCAAGACCAAAUAAAUUAUUGGGAUCUGAAGAACACGAAUAGUAUGGAAUAUUAAUAAUGGUGGGCGUACAACCCUUUGGUUCAGGUAGCAUUGCUUCAAUCUUAUGAUGUGUAUCUUCUGAAUUUGAUGCCAAACAACUACGGGUGUCAGCCUGCUCCUGUGAACAAAAAAUUUCAAACAAGAGCACUCAAAUAUUCAUCUUGGAAGGUCAUCUGUACAUAAUAAUUCCAUGUACUGAUCUAUCAGAAGGAGAAUGGACAGCCUCUGUUCACAUGACCAAUACCAUAUACUGAUCUAUCAGACCAAAAGGUAAAAACAAAAAACUUCUAAGACCUUCAUUUACAAAUGUAGCUUUGCUCAGUGGGUAAGAGGAGUACAAAAUCAUGGCAUGUGCUCCACUAAACAGAAAAAUCCGAAAAUGCAGGAACAGGUGUGACUGUGUUCAAGAGAGAUAUAAUUCACCUUGCUCUUCUUGAUCAAUCUCUUCCUAUAAAUUCUUCUUAUAGUCUCCACAAGUAACUAAAAGUUGAAGAAUCAAAAUAAGAUUAUCAGAGAACCAGCUAAUCAAGCAGUAAAAACUGAGAGAAAAAAGAUGCGGACGUAGGUGGGCAGCCUAGAUUGGAAAGGAGUGGGAAGCGAAGGGGAAACAAAAGAUGUGUUACUCUAGAAGAUUUGUGGAAAUAAAACAUUACCUCGGUUCAGUUGAGUGGUACAUGAAAUUGGAUGUCCAUGCGAGCUUCUCCAGCUUGUCAUGCUUCAUUUUUCUGCAGAAACAAGACACCAAACGACAUGUUAUUAUGAAGUUGUAGCAGAUUGUGUAGAGCAUAAACAACAGUAAGAAAACAUCAAAACUGUACCAAUCUACCUGUAUUGGUCCUGAGUCAUGAGUUACGGCAUGAUUUACUCUCUAAUAUUAUCCAACACAGCGAGCGGAGGAUAAGCAGCUGCAGCUCAUGCAGCAAAGCACGUAAUCCCCUAUAAUGGAAUUAGGUUCGUUCAUUUUUGGGUGGGAGAAACUGUGUUGGAACAUUUUUUUGUCAACAAGCAAAGGAUGUCUCUAGGCCCUUUUAUGUAAAUUAUGCUCUAUAUAGUCUUAUUACAGUCAUAUAGGAUGAUACACUAGAAGGAAUUGUGCUAUGCGCAGAUUCUCUAUAGUGGUGUGCCUAGCUGGUUUAGAGGCAGAUUGGUAUACAAAAAGCACAUAAUAUGUUUCUGUUUCCAUUUUCUAGAUGGCGCACCAACCCACAUCAUUUCUUUGUAUCAAAGUUUUCUACCCUUGAGCAUAUUCACGAGUCUUAAAUCUUCAGUUGGCAUCAAGUCCGUAUAACAUAGUAAAAGCACCAAGUACCCUUCAUGACACUCAAAUAUAAUGCUCCUAAGCCUUAUUAAUCUUGAUCAACGUUAUAACAAGGAUGAAUACAACAAGUCAUACAAGCAGGCACUGCUUGGCACAGAUAUGGCAGCCACAUUAGAAUCCGUACGAGCAAACAAAAUAGCAAACCUUGAACAAAAUAGCACAUAGAAACGAGAAAGGGGCAUAGGGAGGCGUGGAGGAGAAAAGACCUUGAGCUACUGCUGUUCCUCUCCAUGUCUGGGCGUCAUCCUCCUCUCCUUCCCUGCAUCCACCAACAAAACAGAGCAAACAGGGAGGCGUGAGGGGGAAACCACAUCCACAGCUGCCGAAAUUAAAGAACCAAACAGAGAGGGGGGAGAGGGGAGGGGGGCACCUUGAACUCGAGUGGCUGGACGCCAGCGCCGUGGAGGUCGAGGUUCAGGUGUAAGAAGCCCUCGACGACGGCUACCUUGGUGGCUGGGUGCACCCCUCCUGCUGCUCCUCCUCCUCGAGCACGACAAGGCCGGCGGCUGCAGCGCGAGAAGAAGGCCAUGCUCCUGUAUCCUGCUGCUCCCCUCCUCGUGUCUCGACGACGAGCUCCUCCUGCUGAGGCUGGAUCGAGGCCGACGGGCGCCGGCAGAGCACGGGGUGGCCGAGGCCGAGGCGCAAUGGAGAGGGAGGGGAGCAGGGCGGAUGAAAUCAAGCGCCGCCGUUGUCUCCCUGUGCCUGCCGCUGGAGGGAAUGGUGAAGGGGAGGAGGAGGCGGCGCAGUGGAGAGCAGGGCAGAAGGGGAGGACCUAGGGUUUGUGGCGGCUGAGGGAGAGAGAUUGAGGAGGGAGGGAGGGUUGCG